UGUGACACUCGUCGAUGAAGCUGAGCUGGGCGGCGGCGUCGCUGAUAAGAGCUGACAGAUCCCCCCCCGCAGCCCCCGCCAUGUGCCUCAAUGCUGCCACCCCAAAGUGCAAUGCCCACAGGUGCCGGCAGGGGGCGCUCUAAUAGGAUAGAAUGGGGAUAUAAUGGGGUUCUAUGGGGGUAGUGCAAUGCCCACAGGUGCCGGCAGGGGGCGCCCUAAUAGGGAUAUAAUGGGGUUCAAUGGGGGUAGUGCAAUGCCCAUAGGUGCCGGCAGGGGGCGCCCUAAUAGGGAUAUAAUGGGGUUCUAUGGGGUACUGCAAUGCCCUAAUAGGGAUAUAAUGGGGUUCUAUGGGGGUAGUGCAAUGCCCUAAUAGGGAUAUAAUGGGGUUCUAUGGGGGGAGUGC
rnacentral:lncRNA from 1 species